rnacentral:rRNA from 1 species
GUUAUAUGGUCAAGCGAAUAAGCGCACACGGUGGAUGCCUUGGCGGUCAGAGGCGAUGAAGGACGUGGCAGCCUGCGAAAAGUAUCGGGGAGCUGGCAACAAGCUUUGAUCCGGUAAUGUCCGAAUGGGGAAACCCACCCGCUUGCGGGUAUCCUGCAGUGAAUACAUAGCUGCUGGAAGCGAACCUGGUGAACUGAAAUAUCUAAGUAACCAGAGGAAAAGAAAUCAACCGAGAUUCCGUAAGUAGCGACGAGCGAACGCGGACUAGCCCUUAAGCUGAUUUGGUUCUAGGAAAACGCUCUGGAAAGAGCGGCCAUAGAAGGUGAUAGCCCUGUAUCUGAAAGGGCCAUUUCAGUGAAGACGAGUAGGGCGGGGCACGUGAAACCCUGUCUGAACAUGGGGGGACCAUCCUCCAAGGCUAAAUACUACUGACCGACCGAUAGUGAACCAGUACCGUGAGGGAAAGGCGAAAAGAACCCCGGAGAGGGGAGUGAAAUAGAACCUGAAACCGUGUGCGUACAAGCAGUAGGAGCUCCGCAAGGAGUGACUGCGUACCUUUUGUAUAAUGGGUCAGCGACUUACUGUUCGUGGCAAGCUUAACCGUAUAGGGGAGGCGAAGGGAAACCGAGUCUGAUAAGGGCGCAUAGUCGCGGGCAGUAGACCCGAAACCGGGUGAUCUAGUCAUGCCCAGGGUGAAGGUGCGGUAACACGCACUGGAGGCCCGAACCCACUCCCGUUGCAAAGGUAGGGGAUGAGGUGUGAUUAGGAGUGAAAAGCUAAUCGAACCCGGAGAUAGCUGGUUCUCCUCGAAAGCUAUUUAGGUAGCGCCUCAUAUGUAUCCUCUCGGGGGUAGAGCACUGUUAUGGCUAGGGGGUCAUCGCGACUUACCAAACCAUUGCAAACUCCGAAUACCGAGACGGACUGUAUGGGAGACACACGGCGGGUGCUAACGUCCGUCGUGAAAAGGGAAACAACCCAGACCCACAGCUAAGGUCCCAAAUUUUGUGCUAAGUGGAAAACCAUGUGGAAAGGCACAGACAGCCAGGAGGUUGGCUUAGAAGCAGCCACCCUUUAAAGAAAGCGUAAUAGCUCACUGGUCGAGUCGGUCUGCGGGGAAGAUUUAACGGGGCUAAGCACAGAACCGAAGCUUGGGGUGCAUAACUUUGUUAUGCGCGGUAGAGGAGCGUUCCGUAAGCCGUUGAAGGUGGAUUGAGAAGUCUGCUGGAGGUAUCGGAAGUGCGAAUGCUGACAUGAGUAACGAUAAUGCGGGUGAAAAACCCGCACGCCGAAAGCCCAAGGUUUCCUUGCGCAACGUUAAUCGGCGCAGGGUGAGUCGGCCCCUAAGGCGAGGACGAAAGUCGUAGUCGAUGGGAAGCAGGUUAAUAUUCCUGCACCUCGCGUAAGUGCGAUGGAGGGACGGAGAAGGUUAGGUGUACCAGGCGUUGGUUGUCCUGGGGAAAGGCGGUAGGUUUGGAUCUUUGGCAAAUCCGGGAUCCUUUAAGACCGAGCACCGAGACGAGCCUUUAUGGCGAAGUCACUGAUACCACGCUUCCAGGAAAAGCUCCUAAGCUUCAGCUUACGCAGACCGUACCGUAAACCGACACAGGUGGGUAGGAUGAGAAUUCUCAGGCGCUUGAGAGAACUCGGGUGAAGGAACUAGGCAACAUGGCACCGUAACUUCGGGAGAAGGUGCACCCUUUUUGGUGGCUCGUGCGAGCUAUAGCUGAAGAGGGUCGCAGUAACCAGGCCGCUGCGACUGUUUAUCAAAAACACAGCACUCUGCAAACACGAAAGUGGACGUAUAGGGUGUGACGCCUGCCCGGUGCUGGAAGGUUAAUUGAUGGGGUCAGCCGCAAGGCGAAGCUCUUGAUCGAAGCCCCAGUAAACGGCGGCCGUAACUAUAACGGUCCUAAGGUAGCGAAAUUCCUUGUCGGGUAAGUUCCGACCUGCACGAAUGGCGUAACGACAGCGGCGCUGUCUCCACCCGAGACUCAGUGAAAUUGAAAUCGCUGUGAAGAUGCAGCGUUCCCGUGGCAAGACGGAAAGACCCCGUGAACCUUUACUAUAGCUUUACACUGAACGUUGAGUUCGUCUGUGUAGGAUAGGUGGGAGGCUAUGAAACUGUGGCGCUAGCUGCAGUGGAGCCAUCCUUGAAAUACCACCCUGUCGUGCUUGACGUUCUAACCUGGGCCCAUUAUCUGGGUCGGGGACCGUGUAUGGUGGGUAGUUUGACUGGGGCGGUCUCCUCCUAAAGAGUAACGGAGGAGCUCGAAGGUACGCUCAGCGCGGUCGGACAUCGCGCACUGUGUGCAAAGGCAUAAGCGUGCUUGACUGCAAGAUCGACGGAUCAAGCAGGUAGGAAACUAGGACUUAGUGAUCCGGUGGUUCUGUAUGGAAGGGCCAUCGCUCAACGGAUAAAAGGUACUCCGGGGAUAACAGGCUGAUACCGCCCAAGAGUUCAUAUCGACGGCGGUGUUUGGCACCUCGAUGUCGGCUCAUCACAUCCUGGGGCUGUAGUCGGUCCCAAGGGUAUGGCUGUUCGCCAUUUAAAGUGGUACGCGAGCUGGGUUCAGAACGUCGUGAGACAGUUCGGUCCCUAUCUGCCAUGGGCGUUGGAGAUUUGAGAGGGGCUGCUCCUAGUACGAGAGGACCGGAGUGGACGAACCUCUGGUGUUCCGGUUGUCACGCCAGUGGCAUUGCCGGGUAGCUAUGUUCGGAAGCGAUAACCGCUGAAAGCAUCUAAGCGGGAAGCGCGCCUCAAGAUGAGAUCUCCCGGGGCACAAGCCCCCUGAAGGAACCAUGUAGACUACGUGGUUGAUAGGUCAGGUGUGUAAGUACAGCAAUGUAUUGAGCUAACUGAUACUAAUGAUCCGUGCGGCUUGACCAUAUAACCU